AAUGAAUCUGGAAGCAGCAUCUCCAGCUCCAACAUGUGCCUCUGAUGCAUCUGAUCGUUCAAUGGAUCGACCUGUUGUGUUCAAACAGAGAAUGAAGCCAGAGGCAGCAUCUCCAGCUCCAACAUGUGCAUCUGAUGCAUCUGACCAUUCAAUGGAUCGACCUGUGACGUUUAAAAGAAUAAAGCUAGAAGCAGCAUCUCCAGCGCCAACAUGUGCAUCUGAUGCAUCUGACCGUUCAAUGGAUCGACCUGUGACGUUUAAAAGGUGUUUUUAUAUUUUUCACUACACAAAUUCUUAUUUGAAGUCAUUUAUUUUUUUAUUUCUUACUCUUGUACUCUUGUUUAUUCUUGUAAACUUUGCAAUCUCUUCUUUUUUUUAGACCAUCACCAGCUCCUACCUCCAUUUCUAUGAGGGGACAUUUGACAAAACAACCACUUUUGUUUAACAGAGGCGAAGAUACUAUUGGGUAAACUUCGGAACACAAACUUCUGGUCUUCUUUUGUUUUAUUUCCACAGUGUUUCUGUUGAGAACAUGCUAUUUGUUUGAUGCACUGUUUAGACAUCAAGGACCAGCAUGAAUUAGUUUAAUUUUUAUUCUUAAGUCAUAGUUUGCUAAAGGCUCUGUUCUGUGAUCAUUAUGUUUGUAAUAAACACAGCGAGUUAUCAGCCUGCCUGCUGACG
rnacentral:lncRNA from 1 species